rnacentral:rRNA from 1 species
UACGUAGGACGCGAGCGUUAUCCGGAUUUACUGGGCGUAAAGCGUCUGUAGGCGGAGGCGUAAGUUGGGUGUGAAAGCUCCGGGCUUAACCCGGAGAGGCCAUUCAAUACUGCGCGACUAGAGGGCGUGAGAGGGGAGCGGAAUUUCCGGUGUAGCGGUAAAAUGCGCAGAUAUCGGGAGGAACACCAGUGGCGCAGGCGGCUCCCUGGUACGCACCUGACGCUGAGAGACGAAAGCUAGGGGAGCGAACAGG